rnacentral:rRNA from 1 species
CAGUAGCCGCGGGAAUACGGAGGGUGCAAGCGUUAUCCGGAUUUAUUGGGUUUAAAGGGUCCGUAGGCGGACUUAUAAGUCAGUGGUGAAAGCCUGUCGCUUAACGAUAGAACUGCCAUUGAUACUGUAAGUCUUGAGUAUAUUUGAGGUAGCUGGAAUAAGUAGUGUAUCGGUGAAAUGCAUAGAUAUUACUUAGAACACCAAUUGCGAAGGCAGGUUACCAAGAUAUAACUGACGCUGAGGGACGAAAGCGUGGGUAGCGAACAGGAUUAGAUACCCGGGUAGUCCCUGUCUCUUAUAC